rnacentral:sRNA from 1 species
UCAUCUCUCCGUACGGGAAGGAUGAGAAGCUUCGACUAAGGUUCGAUUCGAGCGACGAGCGUUGCCGCAGGCAACCCGAAGGGCGAAGCGCGCAGCGCUGAGUCAUCCUUCCCCCACCACCA